rnacentral:rRNA from 1 species
GUGGGGAAUUUUCCACAAUGGGCGAAAGCCUGAUGGAGCAACGCCGCGUGUGUGAUGAAGGUUUUCGGAUCGUAAAGCACUUUCGGCCGGGACGAAAAUACCCGAGAUAACAUCAAGGGAGUUGACUGUACCGGAAGAAGAAGCACCGGCUAACUCUGUGCCAGCAGCCGCGGUAAUACAGAGGGUGCAAGCGUUGUUCGGAAUUAUUGGGCGUAAAGCGCGUGUAGGCGGUCUGAUAAGUCAGGUGUGAAAGCCCGCAGCUUAACUGCGGAAGUGCACUUGAAACUGUCGGACUUGAGUGCCAGAGAGGGUAGUAGAAUGCCCCAAGUAGAGGUGAAAUUCGUAGAUAUGGGGCGGAACACCGGUGGCGAAGGCGGCUACCUGGAUGGCAACUGACGCUGAGACGCGAAAGCGUGGGUAGCAAACAGGAUUAGAUACCCUUGUAGUCC